GGACCGGUAGCUCAGCCAGGAUAGUAGCGCUUCCCUCCUAAGGAAGAGGUCCUGGGUUCAAAUCCCAGCCGGUCCG
rnacentral:tRNA from 1 species